rnacentral:rRNA from 1 species
CCCUUAGAUGUCCUGGGCCGCACGCGCGCUACACUGAUGCAUUCAACGAGUUUUACCUUGGCCGAGAGGCCUGGGCAAUCUUUUAAACCUGCAUCGUGAUAGGGAUAGAUUAUUGCAAUUAUUAAUCUUGAACGAGGAAUUCCUAGUAAACGCAGAUCAUCAAUCUGCAUUGAUUACGUCCCUGCCCUUUGUACACACCGCCCGUCGCUACUACCGAUUGAAUGGUUUAGCAAGGUCUUCGGAUUGGCGCCUGACAGUUUCGACUGUCUUCGUGUCCGAGAAGAUGAUCAAACUUGAUCAUUUAGAGGAAGUAAAAGUCGUAACA